rnacentral:rRNA from 1 species
AACGAACGCUGGCGGCAGGCUUAACACAUGCAAGUCGAGCGCCCCGCAAGGGGAGCGGCAGACGGGUGAGUAACGCGUGGGAAUCUACCCAUCUCUACGGAAUAACGCAUGGAAACGUGUGCUAAUACCGUAUACGUCCUUCGGGAGAAAGAUUUAUCGGGGAUGGAUGAGCCCGCGUUGGAUUAGCUAGUUGGUGGGGUAAAGGCCUACCAAGGCGACGAUCCAUAGCUGGUCUGAGAGGAUGAUCAGCCACACUGGGACUGAGACACGGCCCAGACUCCUACGGGAGGCAGCAGUGGGGAAUAUUGGACAAUGGGCGCAAGCCUGAUCCUGCCAUGCCGCGUGAGUGAUGAAGGCCCUAGGGUUGUAAAGCUCUUUCACCGGUGAAGAUAAUGACGGUAACCGGAGAAGAAGCCCCGGCUAACUUCGUGCCAGCAGCCGCCGCGGUAA